rnacentral:rRNA from 1 species
UACGUAGGUGGCAAGCGUUUGUCCGGAUUUACUGGGCGUAAAGAGCGCGCAGGCGGUCGUUCAAGUCGCGUGUGAAAGCCCCCCGGCUCAACUGGGGAGGGUCACGCGAUACUGAUCGACUCGAAGGCAGGAGAGGGAAGUGGAAUUCCCGGUGUAGUGGUGAAAUGCGUAGAUAUCGGGAGGAACACCAGUGGCGAAGGCGACUUCCUGGCCUGUUCUUGACGCUGAGGCGGCGAAAGCUAGGGGAGCAAACGGG